rnacentral:rRNA from 1 species
AUUGAACGCUGGCGGCAUGCUUUACACAUGCAAGUCGAACGGCAGCACGGACUUCGGUCUGGUGGCGAGUGGCGAACGGGUGAGUAAUACAUCGGAACGUACCCAGUAAUGGGGGAUAACUAGUCGAAAGAUUAGCUAAUACCGCAUACGCCCUACGGGGGAAAGAGGGGGAUCGCAAGACCUCUUGUUAUUGGAGCGGCCGAUGGCUGAUAGCUAGUUGGUGGGGUAAAGGCCUACCAAGGCGACGAUCAGUAGCGGGUCUUAGAGGACGAUCCGCCACACUGGAACUGAGACACGGUCCAGACUCCUACGGGAGGCAGCAGUGGGGAAUCUUGGAAAAUGGGCGAAAGCCUGAUCCAGCAAUGCCGCGUGCGUGAAGAAGGCCUUCGGGUUGUAAAGCGCUUUUGUCUGAGAGCAAAUCCUUGUGGCUAAUACCCACCGGGGAUGAGAGUACCAGAAGAAUAAGGACCGGCUAACUACGUGCCAGCAGCCGCCGUAACAC